rnacentral:lncRNA from 1 species
GCCUCAUUUACACAUUUAAGAUUGGCUCAUUCUUGUAAUUCAUUGCCAAUUAUAGCCAAACCAUCCCAUACAAACAUAAGCAUACAUAAAUUUGUGGGUCAUAGCCUACUUCAAAGUAAACCUAUUCCCAUGGCCAAAUACAAGGAGAUAUGUAAAUUUUUACAAACCUUCAUAUUGGCAAUUCAAACAACACAUAUCACAAAAUGAACCAAAGCCCUAAGCCAUUGAACAAAAUAAAAGUGCCUAUAUACUAAAGCUAGACUAGUUGAUAGUGUGUUGAGUCUCCAAUCGUCUUCAAAUCUUUACAAGUCAUUAAGCUCUAUAAGACAGGGAAAAGAGAGGGGUAAGCAUUUACAUUCUUAAUAAGCCCGAAUAACUAAAAAGUAAACUUACCGAUUAAUUAGCAUACAACCAUCUUAAGCAAUAAAACCAACAAGAAUAAAAUUGUUUCCCUAUCACAUGCACUCAAUUAACAAGUUAGUCACAAUAAUAAUGUACCAUGUAAUUUGUCUUAGAUGAGCUCAUCAUCCAACAUUUUCAUUUUUAUAUUUCAUGUUAAUCCCGUUGAGUUUCUUGAAAAUAUCAAUGGAUUAUCUAUUUACCGUCAAGUCAUAAAGCGAUCAUCUCAUGUACGCAUUCCUACGAACCUCACAUCUUACGGCAGUAUUACCAGUCAAGGCUAAAAUCCCUCGCAUUGUAAACUCAUAAGGUGAAGUCGGGAUUACCAGUCCAAGCUAAAUCCCUUACAGAGACAAACACCCUAAACGAGCUCGGAUCUGAAUUACCAAUCCAGGCUAAAUUUAGACCCUAAUCGAAUUACCCAUCCGGGCUAAAUCCUUAAUGCACACAUAUUCUUCGGGAGGCUCGAUCACUCAACGAACACCCGUCCGGGCUAGAUCCUUUCUAUAUUUGAGAUCAACGGAUUACCCGUCCAGGCUAAAUCUUUUCUGCAACACAUGCAGGAUCUCAAGUCAUAUGUAAACAUGGUUCAUCCAUCGAACUUCCUUUUCAACCUCAACCAAAACAAUUACCAACAUGUUAUUAUUAAGAAUGCAUUUCAUAGAUUGUCAUGCCAUCAUCAAAUACAAUUAUCAUACAUUCAUAAAUUAUUCAAUUAAGCAUACAAUGAGUUUACUUUGAGUUAUUCGAACUUAUCUAGUAUUCGUCUCGAUAUCGUGUUUUGGUUAUUCCGAAACCUUUCGUUUUCCUCGAUUGACCUCUGGAAUUUGUUCCUCGGGGUCUAUAACAAUAAAAAUAAAUCAUUAAUACUCACAUUAUAUUUUUUGAGUCUUAAUUUCACCCCUGGUCCAAAUGAUCGUUUUGCCCCUAACAUUUCAUAUUUUUACGAUUUAGUCCCUAAGCUCGUAUAAUGAAAUGCAUGCAAUUUCUACCUUACCCAAGCUUAGCCGAAUGUUUUUCCCUCUUACGAUGGCCUACAUUUUUCCAUUAUAUCUCAUUUCUACCACACAUUUUACAGCUUUUGCAAAAAGGUCCUUUUAGGGGUUUUUCAUGAAAAUCACUUAGGAAAAAGUAUUUAACACACAUCCAACUUUAAUAUUCCUCCAUAAACCAUCAAAAUACAAGUAACUCAUGCAUGAGUAAAUUUCCAAUCAUGAACCCUAGUAUGAAAUAUGGGUAAAAUUAGAGAAAGUAAACUACCAAGGAUUUUAAAAAUACGAAGAAUAUUAAAAACAAGGCUUGUGAGCACUUACUAUUUAACUUGAAAAUGUUGAAAACCCUAGCUAUGGUGGCUUGAGAAUUUCAACUGGACAAGAGAGAAGAAUGGCUAAUUUUUGCCUUCUUUUCCCAUUUUAUUUCAUUAAAAUGCCAAAUGACCAAAAUGCCCUUUAAGCCAUUUCUUUAGAAUUUAAUCCAUACAAGCCCAUUUUUGUUCAAAAACUUAGAAAUUAGGAAAAUUUCUCCCAAAUACCUUUUAAUUUAUAAUCUAAAGCAAUUUCAUACAAAUUGUUUCUAGAAGCUAAGUUUUGAAAUUUAUUCAAUUUGGUCAUUAUUUCCUAUUUAACACAUACUUAUUCUCAUAUUCUAAACCUCAUAAUAAUCAUAAAACAAAUAUUUUAAUGUCAGAUUUAUGGUCCUGAAACUACUAUUCUGACUAGGCCCUAUUUCGAGAUGUUACAUCAAGUAAAUAGGAAAAAAAUAGGUUCUACUGGAAAAAUUAGCUAUGCUGGCUGAAGCCGAUAGAGAUGAUAAAAAUUUAGCCGAAUUGAUUGACACGAAAAGUUAUUUAAAUUUUGAGAUUGAGAAAGAUGAACGUUAUUGGGAGUAAAGGGCUAGACUAAAUUGGCUGAAAUUUGGGGAUAAAAAAAUUGCAUUUUUCACAGUCAAACGUCACAGUGCCGAAGGACAAAUUUUAUUCAUAGGUUGUAAAAUGAAGAUGUGAGAGAAAUGGAGGCCUUAUAGGGAAUCGAGGAGGCUGCACGAUCUUAUUUUCUAAAUUUGUUUUCUGUAGUGGAAAGGGGAAAUUAUGACCAUUUGAUGACAGGAAUUGAUCAAUGUGCGCAUCAGGAAGACAAUCGACAACUUACAGCACCAUACACAAAAGAGGAGAUUCAAGAAGCAGUGUUUGCCAUGAGACUCACAAAGGCACCAGGGGAAGAUGGAUUACCAGGCCUUUUUUAUCAGAAAUGUUGGCACAUUAUUGGAGAGGAAGUCACCUCUUUUUGUUUACAACUUUUGAAUGGGGACAUGGAGGUGAGUUUAAUUAAUUCUACUAAUAUAGUGCUUAUUUCGAAAGUUUCCAAUCCUUCUAAUAUGAUGGAGUUUAGGCCAAUUAGUUUAUGCAAUGUACUUUAAAAAAUUUUGGCUAAGGUAAUCGCAAAUCGAUUUAGAGGAGUUAUUGAAAAAUGUAUUGAUGGUGCGCAGAGUGCCUUUGUGCCAGGACGAUUAAUAUCAGACAAUGUCUUAUUAGCCUAUGAAAUAUUGCAUAUGCUAAAACAUAAGAGAUCGGGGAAGAAAGGAUAUAUGGCAGUUAAACUCAACAUGAGUAAAACAUAUGAUAAGGUCGAAUGGAAUUUUAUAAGAGAGAUAAUGAUACAAAUGGGAUUUGAUCAAAAAUGGGUUGAUGCUCUUAUGAAAUGUGUAACUACUGUUUCUUAUUCAGUGGUCAUUAAUGGGCAUAUUGGAUAAAAGUUUCUACCCACAAUAGGUCUUAGAUAGGGCGAUCCUCUAAGCCCGUUUCUCUUUCUUUUAUGUGGAGGUCUUUCGGGCUUAUUAAGACUUGCAACAAAUGAGAGGUUUUUCAAAGGUGUUAAGGUUGUAGAAGCGGUCCACUGAUUUCCCACCUUCUAUUUGCCGAUGAUUGUAUUUUAUUUGGAGAUGCUACAACCAAUGGAGCACACUUAUUCAAGGACAUCUUACGUGAAUAUAGAUCGUCUUCGGGUUAAUGCGUGAACUUUGACAAAUCAACAGUAUUUUUUAGUAGGAAUACUACGGAGAAAGAUAGAAGAUUAGUUGUCAACUUACUGGGGGUUCACAACUCGAAUUAACCAGAAAGAUACCUACGGUAGCCCAGUAUGGUGGGUCAGAGGAAAAAAUAAUCUUUUCAAAAUCUGAAGGAUUGACUCAAAAACCGAAUUGAUAAUUGGAGUAAUAGGUUCUUAUCUCAGGGUGGAAAAGAAAUUUUUAUAAAGGCCAUUCUUCAAGCUAUACCUACUUAUAUGAUGGCUUGUUUUUUAUUACCUAAAGCUUUAUGUGAUGAACUUGAAAGUAUUCAUUGUGAGUUUCUGGUGGCAGAAGGGACAUGGAAAAAAAGUAUCCAUUGGUGCGUUUGGAAAAACCUUUGUUUUUUGAACGAAAAUAGUGGAUUAGGUUUUCGAAAUUAUGGUCAAUUCAAUAUUGCGUUAUUAGCCAAACAAGGCUGGCGUCUUAUUAAUUAUCCAAAUUCAUCGUUGGCUAGAGUUUUAAAAGUAAAAUACUAUCUGCGAUCAAAUUUUCUAAAUGCAGAGUUGGGGAAUUUACCUUUUACUUACCUAGAAGAGUAUUUGGGCUGUAAAGGGACUAAUCCAAAGAGGGCUAUGCUGGAGAGUGGGCAGAGGGGAUAACAUUUCAGUCCGGGAUGAUAGCUGGGUUCAGGGGAUCGACAAAGUUGAAGGAAACAACAGACCAGAAAAUGAGGAGCUAUAGUUAGUUUCGGAUCUCAUUAACAUUCCGAACAAAAAGUGGAAGACGGAUUUGAUUUACAAUACCUUUUCAGCAGAAAUUACGAAGAAAAUUUCACAGAUCCCACUUACAGAGACGGACCAUGAAGAUAUUCAAGUCUGGAAAGGAGAACCGUUCGGGGAAUUUUUAGUUCACAGCGCCUAUAAACUAUUACAAGGGGCUAAUCCGGAUCCUAGUAAUUUCUUAAUACAAACCGAAAUUACAGAUUUCUACAAAAAAUUAUAGGGUUUACAACUUCCUUCAAAAAUCACUAUAAUUAUUUGGCGAAUCUCUUGGGAUUUCAUCCAUCAUCUAGCUAAUCUCAGAUAUAGAAGAGUUUCUGCAAGUGACAGAUGUCCUCGUUGCCGUUAUUGAGUUGAAGAUAGUCCUCAUAUUUUUCGUCAAUGCCCUGUAUCAACAGAAGUGUGGCAUUUUUUACAUCUAUCUUGGGUUAUAAACAAUAUGAAUCAAACUAUAUGGGAGUGGCUUACCUGGGUUUUCAAGAGAGGAACUGCGGAACAAUGUCGCCUUUUCUGUAUUACUUUAUGGCUAAUCUGGUUUUCCAGAAAUCAGCUCAUUCACGAGAGGAAGGAAACAUGUAGAGAACUUGCUCAUCAAAUAUAGGGGUAUAUGGCAGAAAAUGAAGGGGUAAGAGAAACUCCAAAUCCUUUUAAUACAAACAAGAAUCACAAAGGUCAGGAGGACAUACCGAGAAUAACGAUCCAGUUUGAUGCAGCGUUCGACAUUCGAAACUUCAAAUUAGCAACAUGCUUGGUGGUUUAGGGCCUGACGGGCGAGCUCCUGGUCUUAAAAUCGACCCUUCACAAUAAUGUUUCUUCCCCGUUCGCAGCAGAAGCGUUUGCAUGUUUGGAAGGCAUAAAGUUAGGGAUAUCAAUGGGUAUACAAUCGGUUAAAAUCAUGGGGGAUUCUAGAACAAUAAUUAAAAAAUGUCAAACAUCUUCAAUAGAUAAAUCAGAGAUUCGAGCGAUCAUAAAAGACAUUCAGAACAAGAAAUUUUAUUUUCAAGAGAUUACCUUUCAGCAUAUUCAUAGAUCAGGGAACUCGCAAGCACACAGAUUCGCAAAGAAUACUCUAGAUAGAGGAGAGAUCUCUUACCUAGUGGGAGAGGAGUUGAAUCGGCAUCCUUCCGACUUGGAGGGAAGAUGGUCAAGAAGACCAGAUAGAAGAAGGAGAUGAGGAAUCUGAUUUCAAAAGUGAUAGCAAAUAAAAGCUUUAUUCUUGAUAAUAGCUAUUGUCAGAACGGAUGGGUGCUUUGAAAUGACAAAUCAAUGAAUGGUAAUGGAGGCCAGCCGUUUGAAUGGACUGGGUAGAUAUUUAGUUUCCUGUUUUCCGUCAGAAUCAUUUAAUGCUUUUUGUUUCCUUUAAGUUAUGUUUAUUUU